GUGAGGAAUAUUGGUCAAUGGGCGAGAGCCUGAACCAGCCAAGCCGCGUGAAGGAAGACGGCACUAUGGGUUGUAAACUUCUUUUGUCGGGGAACAAAAGCCGAUUUGCGAAUUGGUCUGAGUGUACCCGAGAAAAAGCAUCGGCUAACUCCGUGCC
rnacentral:rRNA from 1 species